ACGGAGGGAACUAGCGUUGUUCGGAAUUACUGGGCGUAAAGCGCGCGUAGGCGGUACAAUAAGUCAGGGGUGAAAUCCCGGGGCUCAACCCCGGAACUGCCCUUGAAACUGUUGAACUAGAAUAUCGGAGAGGUAAGUGGAAUUCCGAGUGUAGAGGUGAAAUUCGUAGAUAUUCGGAAGAACACCAGUGGCGAAGGCGACUUACUGGACGAUGAUUGACGCUGAGGUGCGAAAGCGUGGGGAGCAAACAGG
rnacentral:rRNA from 1 species